rnacentral:tRNA from 1 species
ACAACAGUGAGCUGAUUUCUCGCUUUCACCGAGACGGCCCGGGUUCGAUUCCCGGCUGGGGAA